rnacentral:misc_RNA from 1 species
UCCGAGUUGACCCCGGCGGUCACCUACAUGUCAAACCCAGGUAAGGUUCUUCGCGUUGCGUCGAAUUAAACCACAUGCUCCGCUGCUUGUGCGGGCCCCCGUCAAUUCCUUUGAGUUUUAGCCUUGCGGCCGUACUCCCCAGGCGGGGCACUUAGUGCGUUAGCGACGGCACGGGAGGAGUCGACACCUCCCACACCUAGUGCCCAUCGUUUACGGCGUGGACUAC